rnacentral:rRNA from 1 species
GCAUGUCUAAGUAUAAGCAAUUUAUACAGUGAAACUGCGAAUGGCUCAUUAAAUCAGUUAUCGUUUAUUUGAUAGUACCUUACUACUUGGAUAACCGUGGUAAUUCUAGAGCUAAUACAUGCUUAAAAUCCCGACUGUUUGGAAGGGAUGUAUUUAUUAGAUAAAAAAUCAAUGUCUUCGGACUCUUUGAUGAUUCAUAAUAACUUUUCGAAUCGCAUGGCCUUGUGCUGGCGAUGGUUCAUUCAAAUUUCUGCCCUAUCAACUUUCGAUGGUAGGAUAGUGGCCUACCAUGGUUUCAACGGGUAACGGGGAAUAAGGGUUCGAUUCCGGAGAGGGAGCCUGAGAAACGGCUACCACAUCCAAGGAAGGCAGCAGGCGCGCAAAUUACCCAAUCCCGACACGGGGAGGUAGUGACAAUAAAUAACGAUACAGGGCCCUUUCGGGUCUUGUAAUUGGAAUGAGUACAAUGUAAAUACCUUAACGAGGAACAAUUGGAGGGCAAGUCUGGUGCCAGCAGCCGCGGUAAUUCCAGCUCCAAAAGCGUAUAUUAAAGUUGUUGCAGUUAAAAAGCUCGUAGUUGAACCUUGGGCUUGGUUGGCCGGUCCAUCUUUCUGAUGCGUACUGGACCCAACCGAGCCUUUCCUUCUGGCUAGCCUUUUGGCGAACCAGGACUUUUACUUUGAAAAAAUUAGAGUGUUCAAAGCAGGCCUUUGCUCGAAUAUAUUAGCA